rnacentral:rRNA from 1 species
GUGGGGAAUAUUGGUCAAUGGGCGAGAGCCUGAACCAGCCAAGUAGCGUGAAGGAAGACUGCCCUACGGGUUGUAAACUUCUUUUGUACGGGAAUAAAGUGAGGCUCGUGAGCCUUUUUGCAUGUACCGUACGAAUAAGGACCGGCUAAUUCCGUGCCAGCAGCCGCGGUAAUACGGAAGGUCCGAGCGUUAUCCGGAUUUAUUGGGUUUAAAGGGAGCGCAGGCGGAAUGUUAAGUCAGCUGUGAAAUCCCGUCGCUCAACGGCGGAACUGCAGUUGAUACUGGCUUUCUUGAGUGCACAUAAGGAUGGUGGAAUUCGUGGUGUAGCGGUGAAAUGCUUAGAUAUCACGAAGAACUCCGAUUGCGAAGGCAGCCAUCUGGGGUGCAACUGACGCUGAGGCUCGAAAGUGCGGGUAUCAAACAGG